GCCUCCGUGGCGCAAUCGGCUAGCGCGUUCGGCUGUUAACCGAAAGUUUGGUGGUUCGAGCCCACCCGGGGUCG
rnacentral:tRNA from 1 species